AUGACACCAUAGUCCGCCUCCCCCAGGGCAGCGCUUGCUUGUUCAGUUGCUUCCACCCCCCCACCUCUCGUGUCCUGGCGGCGCCUGGCAGGGUGUUCCAGAGACGGGGCUUCGCGUGCAUAAGGCCACCGACAGUUAAGAGGGCUGCCCUUCAGGGCGCGCGUUCAAGGUCGUUUACAGGAUAGAGUCCGCUUCUGGGUCCGGACUUUUGCACCUUCGCUGUCUUUUCACGCUAGGCAGCCAGGACUCGAAACAAGCUGAACGAUGGUUGUGAGGGUGAAGAAGCUGUCCCAGGGAGACCGGCGUGGACUGUCUAAUAAGUGAUCUAGGGCGAGUACCAGGCACUAGAGAGAUGUGUAGGGAGGAGGCGGGAGGAGAAGAGACAUAAAUCCGUGUCGAACUGUCCAAGAGUUAGCGCCACGUUGAGCUGAAUCUGAAAGAAUUUUAAGAGGCUGAUUAGGCGGGACAGGGGUUAGAAAACCAGAUGGGAAGUUCAGCCUCUGGCAAGGGUUGAAAGCCACAUUCAAUCAAGGUCAAAGGCAUUGGGCGCGAGCUAAGUACGUAGCACAGCUGGCUGGUGGCUGUCUCGGUGGAAGAGACUUCCAAGUUUCAGCUGCCCCCACCUUGGAGGAAUUGUUACGCCUGAUGCCCCAUGCCAGACGGAUGCUGAAGUGAGGCUGUGCAAAUGACAGAACACCCUGCCUUGAGUGACGGAACUGUCGGUGUCCCCAGGAAAGUUACACCUCCUCUGCUCUGCCUCCUGCAGGGCAGCCCAGUGCAGUCUCCGGAGCUGCUUGGCCAGGGUCUCACUACGCAGCCUUGACGGACCCAGAACUCACUAUGACUGGCCUCAAACUGCCAGUGAGCCACCUGCCUCUGCCUUCUGAGUGCUGGGGUCCGAGUUAUGUGCUACCACACGUUGGGCUCUAAAGGUAAACGUCCUUUAGUGUAGGUAUGUCUCAUGCACAAAAAUAAAAGUAAAGACCGUAGUAACAAAAGCAUGUCCCAUACAGCAUUUGAGACCCUUGGAAAAUACCCACUGUGCACCUGAAACUGAAAUUCCACUGGGGGUUGGUAUUUUUAUUUGCUCUGUCUGCUCAGAGGGCGUAAAAGCAACGUCCUAUCCCUUCCCUGCCACCCCCACCUCACCCCUGCUUUGCCUGUCGCCUGAGUCAUCCUGUCAUGAGCUGCUCUGGCUCUGCUUCCCCAGGCGACUGCCCUCCUAGCUGUGGCCCCGGGACACACAGGAUAGGGUGAGUCACAGCCCAAAGAACUAGCUUGGCAGGGGCCCCUGCGCCCCCUGUCGGCGCUAAGUCACACAGCCGCCCAUCUUCGUGGUCGGGGGCAGGGGUGGGCAAAGAAGACUGAGAUUCCGGGAAAGGGUUCCAGAAAGUCAGCCUGGAAGGAAGAAUGGUGCCCAGGGCUCUCCACACUUCACAGAGGAGGAAAACAGCCUCAGAGGGG